ACCCUGACGGCCCAGUGGUUGGUAUAGACGGGGCGGGGGGGGUCGGCAGCCACCCCCCGGGCACCCAGGGCCAGGGAGAGGGCCAGGAGGCAGAGGAGAGAUGAAGAAGAGGAGGAAGAAGAGGAGGCAGCAGCGGGCAUGGGCGAUGGACAGAGCUGGUGGGCGCUGUGCGUGCAGAAAAGUUGUUGGAGCCCAGCAGGAGGGGAGGAGAAGGUGGCUUGGCACUGCUGGCCGGAGCUGGUGCCCACGGGUGCCCCCCUCUCACCGCCGUGAUUUCACCAUUCACCGCUUGCGCCCUGCCGAUUUUUCACCCCAAAAGUGGAAAAGCUGGGGGAAAAGGGCUUCAGCUGGAAGAGCAGCGGCUUUGCUCCGCUCCGCGUGCCAGCCAGGGAGGCGCCGGGUGCUGGCUGACCCCGGUGCUGCCCGCGAGGCAGACUUUGGCCCCGCGCGCUCUGCGUCGUGGUGCGCCGGGGCAGAGCCUUCCCCUUAACUCUUUUCCAUGCUGACUCCCAGCCCGGCGAGACGCAGGCGAGGCAAUCGAGCCCAUCAGAGCAGAGAUUACGGCAGGGAUGGGGUCCAACCCCGGUUAUCUGCUUGCUGUGCCCGCUCCCGGUGCGCUGGGAUGCGCAGCGAGGCCGCCGGGACGCGGCCAAACCCCGUUUGCGUGCGGGGCGCUGAGAAGGAUCGUGCCUUCAUGCGAGCCCUGCACCUGGAAAUAGCUUUUUCUGUAGCUCCCAGGCUUAACCAAAUGAGGGAAAAUUGGGCUGGUGUAAUUAAAGCAGUGUGGUUCCCGAUCCUGGCUGCACUCGGGAGUUGUUCUGCAGCUCGGCUUUGGUGAAAAAUCCCCGGCUGGCUCUGGCCGCUCGCCACAGGGAUGCCCACGGUCAGCCUGGUGCAGCUCCCACCCCAUUCGGAGCAGAUGUUCCGCGUUCAGUCCUGCUCGUGGAAAAAUCCCGUGCGGCAAGGAGCUACCUGCGCAGCCCCACAGCCCAAAAAUGAGGAUCUGCAGCCCCCCUGGAGCUGCACCCCCACGGCUGAUGGCUCGCGUAAGGGAGCGGGCGCUGUCGGUGCUGCCGCUGCUCGCAAACCACAGCUCCGAGCCUGCGCCUUGGGACCUUCCUGGGUGGAUUUCCAGGAAAUUUGUGCUUGACGGAGAAAUGCUGCACCUGCCUCUUGCGCCCCGGCACUUCUGGGGGAGAUUUGGAGGAAAAAGGUGCUGGGAGAGAGCUCCCAUCAAGGGUGGAA